ACACAAACCCUAAUCCGCCUCCUC
rnacentral:siRNA from 1 species